GACAGAGGAUAAAAGCAUUAUCCGGAAUGAUUGGGCGUAAAGCGUUUGUAGGUGGCUUUUCAAGUCCGCCAUCAAAUCCCUGGGCUCAACCAUGGACAGGUGGUGGAAACUACCAAGCUGGAGUAUGGUAGGGGCAGAGGGCUCGUAGAGCCGGUGGAGUAGUGAAAUACGUAGAGAUCAGAAAGACACCAUGGUGAAAGCACUCUGUUGGGCCAACACUGACACUGAGCUGCGAAAGCUAGGGGAGCAAACAGG
rnacentral:rRNA from 1 species